UACGUAGGGGCCGAGCGUUGUCCGGAGUUACUGGGCGUAAAGCGCGCGCAGGCGGCUCGUCAAGCCUGACGUGAAAGCCCCCGGCUCGACCGGGGAGGGUCGUCGGGGACUGGCGGGCUUGAGGUCGGCAGGGGUUGGUGGAAUUCCCGGUGUAGUGGUGAAAUGCGUAGAGAUCGGGAGGAACACCCGUGGCGAAGGCGGCCAACUGGGCCGGACCUGACGCUGAGGCGCGAAGGCGUGGGGAGCGAACAGG
rnacentral:rRNA from 1 species